UAACGAUCAAUACACAGUCACUCGGUUUUAAUUAUCAACAAAUUUGUUUGUUUUUUUAUCUGUGCAACACAUCAUGAAGUCUGCAAUGAUCAUAUUUGUGGUGAUCUGUUUCGUUGCCCUAACAUUUAAUGCUGUUGAGAGCUGUUGUCAUCACCGGCAUAGUCAUCACCGUCACAGCAGCAGCAGCAGUGGCAGCGGCUCAAGCAAGUUCAAGAGUUUCUUUCCUUCAAGUUUCUCCAAAUCCGGACUAAGUUCCUUUGGGAGUUUCGGAUCCUUCGGAUCAUUUGGAAAGAAAUGAAUAGUUCAUCACACAAGAAGCUGUAUCGUGUAUGUUUCAGUGAACUCACCAUCGUGUAAUAAAAACUGUUAAUACAA